CUCCUGUGUGUGGUGAAGCUGUCCAGGUCGGCGUUCCGCACCACCCGCUCGUACGGCACGUUGGCCGUGAUGAGGCUGUGGCUGUUGAAGGAGAGGUGGCGGACGGGGUGUCUGGAACACAACAGUGGAGAGUGCGCGGGCCCAGCGUAGACACACACACUGGGGCAGAAGCACAUGGAGCCAAUCUUGGAACGAAACAGCUCCAGGGAACAAGCUCCUAUUCUUCCUAGAGCUCUGGUGCAGCGGAGCUGGGAGACGGGCGCUGCCUGCAGAGGACGCAGCUGCUGACGAAGCUCUCUGAGGUGAUGACGUCGCCUGUUCUCUGAGAGUCCCGACGUACCCGCAGCCCCACUGGGGCAGGCACCGAGGACCGAGGGAGUGUGGGCAGGACAUGAGCCUCACCAAACGCCAGCUGAGAGACGGGCAAACUCAAGAAUGGGAGCGAGUCCCGAUUCCGGACCAGAGACGGUGGAGAGGGAGGCAUCAGCCAUGCUGGUGACAACGGACCGUGGAACAUGCAGCACGCAGUCGGAGUGCUGCAGAGACGGACCCAGGGCAUGGAUCGCGGCUGCCCAAGAGCCCAUGUAACCUGCUCCGUGGGGGCAGACACCUACGCCGGGAGCAAGUUUGCUUAGCAGGAAGCUGCGGCUAGCCUGGCACUGACUGUACACAGCCGUCUGUCGGGGCCGUCGCUCUGGACCACGCAACGGUCACCCUGCUGAUGGGAAAAGGACCGCAGUGAUGACACCUGUGGACCCUCACUGAAGUCACACGGAGACAUACGGGGACUGCAAGGCACCGCCACCACAACCCAACAGCGCGGUGCCAAUGAGCAGCUCGGGAAGACGACAGCUCUGAGUGUGAGCGCGCGUGGCGGGGUAGGAAGAUGCACAGGUGACCGACCACCCUUAGCAAGCAGGGUGUCAAAUGGUCACCCGGUAAACCCAGUAAAUGCAGCAUAGUUGCGGAUGACACGGAAGAGAAGACAGGAGAAGAGCACCGGAGGAGGGAGGGCGCUGUAUAAAUCGCAACGCACUGAACGUCUGCCCCAACUGCCCGGCAGGAGACAGCGCAAAAGGACACGAACCGAGUUCUGUCGUGCAACUGUUUCUUCUGUUAAUUUUUUAAUGUCCACGUUUGAAAACUGAGAUGAAUAAAUGACUUUCUAGAAAAGACAGAAUUACCAAAACUGACCCCCAGGAGAUAAAAAAUCAAAACAGAUGAAAUAAUCGAGAGCAAACGGGAAAAGCUAAGAAACGAGAAUCCCCCGCAAAGGAGGCGGGGGGGGGGAACGUGACAACGAACCCUGUGAGGAACAGCUCCAUCCGCGGCUGUGUCAACUGCCCCGACCCUCGGCAGGAGUGUUCUAUGUCCACCCUGCCGGGGCACGACGAAGCUGCAGAUGGGAGCGAAGAUCAGCGACUACAAGCCACAGCGUGUACCUUAAAGCAGAGGAGAAGAAGAAAACCCUGGCUGUUCCUGUGGAUGCCGAGAGGAAGAGAAAUAUGAUGCCCAUCCCCGGGGAUGCACUUUCACCGUGAUUACUGGGUCACUAGAAAAGGCAUAAUAUAUUUUUCUGUUUUACCAUGCAAAAAUGAUCAUGACUUUUCUGACAGCCCCGUAUUUCUUUGUUCUUUUGAAAUGGUUAGCCACAGGGGGACGCUGCUGGCUUACGUCCAGAGCUACCUGAACACAACAGGUGCGUGAGCCCCCACAAUGCUGCCUGCGGAGGGGGAGGGGAUCACAGUGCAAGACUUUCAGGGUGUCUGUGCCUCUCCUCGUAAGAGGGAAAUGGGGGAGAAGUGGGCAGAAUUUGUCAUUUCACAAUCGAAAUAUAAAAAUUGUUUUGUACAAAUGACUAGCUUUUAAAAUGUAAUCAAGGAUCUUAUAAUAAACCUUAAUGAAAGGCAAGAUACUUUACAGAUUUCUCCAAGUUGAGAAAAAGCGUUAGAGAUGACACCCAAAUUCUAGAGGUCUCACAGAGUUCAACAGAAACUAUAAGAUCCUCAGAGGGCUGGCACAGCAGCGCACUGGUCACACACCAUGCCCAGGGGCCAGAUCCCAGCCCCAGGGCACUGACGAACGCUAGGGGGAUCCCAACAGGGCAGAGAAAUGGAGGACAGAGACCGCAGUGUGCCUGCAUCCCAGUGGGGGCGCUUUUUCUCUGGCAGUUAAAUGUCCAUAAUAGGGUACGUCUUCCUAAAUAUAAAACCUAGAAACCAAAAAGAAAAAGUACUAUUUUUU